CCUACGGGUGGCUGCAGUGGGGAAUAUUGGACAAUGGGCGCAAGCCUGAUCCAGCAAUGCCGCGUGUGUGAAGAAGGCCUGCGGGUUGUAAAGCACUUUAAGCAGGAAAGAAGGGUGGAGUGAUAAUACCACUUCGCAUUGACGUUACCUGCAGAAUAAGCACCGGCUAACUCCGUGCCAGCAGCCGCGGUAAUACGGAGGGUGCGAGCGUUAAUCGGAAUUACUGGGCGGAAAGCAUGCGUAGGCGGUGAAAGCCCUGGGCUUAACCUGGGAACUGCGGUGGAUACUGUUGAGCUAGAGUGUGGUAGAGGGAAGUGGAAUUUCCGGUGUAGCAGUGAAAUGCGUAGAGAUCGGAAGGAACACCAGUGGCGAAGGCGGCUUCCUGGACCAACACUGACGCUGAGGUGCGAAAGCGUGGGGAGCAAACAGGAUUAGAUACCCCAGUAGUC
rnacentral:rRNA from 1 species